CAAGACUCAGCAAGUCCGUGCAGCUGUGCACGUGGGUAACCCCUCGACCUCAGGAUCCAUGGAAAUGACAUCUCGGCACAUGACCUUGGGCAGCAGAUGGGCAGAAACUGAAGCAGCAAAGAAUCAGAUCUGGACAGUGAUGCACACAAAUGCUUCUCAGCACCAAAAUGCUGCACCAACCAUCACUAAUCAGGGAGAUUUCC